rfam:Schistosoma mattheei strain Denwood, Zambia genome assembly, scaffold: SMTD_scaffold0000657
AUCCAGCUGAGGAGUCCUAAAUAGGACGAAAGGCACGCCCUGGAU